ACUCGGAUAUUGAUGAUUAUUGAGGAUGGCGGACAUGGACGAGCUGUUCGGCAGUGAUGGCGACAGCGACAAUAAUGAGCAACGAGAGUCCGACUCUGGUUCUGGCUCUGAUUCGGAGCACGAGAGACCCAGAUCUGCCAGCAACGCAUCGGCCAGUGAGAGUGACCGAGAUCACGAUGACGACGAGGAUGAGGACGGGGGAAAACCCAGCAAUAAAGAACUGUUCGGAGAUGACAGCGAAGACGAGCACGGCAGCCAGCACAGCGGCAGCCAGCACAGCGGCAGCCAGCACAGCGGCAGCCAGCACAGCGUUAGCCAGCACAGCGGCAGCCAGCACAGUGGCAGCCAAUCAGAGAGAUCGGGCAACCAGUCAAACGUGAGCAUGCACUCUGACAACGAGCGCAGCGGGUCAGAGGGUCAUCACGAGGAGGAAGAGGAGGAGGAUGAUGACAACAGGGGUCACAGGUCAGACGCUGGGAGCCUGGCUUCAGGGGCAGGAAGUCCCCAGUCUGAUAGAGGUAGUGGAAGUCCGGGGUCAGAUGCAGGAAGUCCACGCUCAUACGCAGGAAGUGGUCAUUCAGAUCCAGGCACACCUCAUUCAGACGGAGAGGGUUCUGGGAAAGACACGGCUCAUUCUGGAGAUGAGAACUGGGGAGGUCAUGGAAAGAGCGACCAGUCAGAUGAAGAGAAACUGCAGAACUCAGACGACGAGAGGGAGCAUUCGAAUGAUGAAGGGGGGAGACGCAUAUCAGAAUCUAUGAAAGGCAGCGAUAGCGAGGAGGAAUUCACAUGGAAGAAAAAGAAAAAAAUAGCUUCUGACUCAGAUUCUGAUCCAGAAACACAGAAAGAUAAGAAACCAGAAGCAAAUGACUUGUUUGGGGAAGCAGAUGAUAUUUCAUCAGACAGUGAUGCAGAGAAACCCCCCACACCUGGCCAACCAAUGGAUGCAGAGGACGGUCUGGAAGGAGAUCAGCCUGAGGAGGAGCCAGUUCCAGAGACCAGGAUCGAGGUGGAGAUUCCUAAAGUUAGCACAGAUUUGGGCAGUGAACUAUACUUCGUCAAACUUCCCAACUUCCUUAGCGUGGAGCCCAGGCCGUUUGACCCUCAGUACUACGAGGAUGAGUUUGAAGAUGAGGAGAUGUUGGAUGAGGAAGGGAGGACGCGCCUCAAGCUGAAGGUGGAGAACACCAUCAGGUGGCGUGCUCGCCACGAUGAGGAGGGCAAUGAAAUCAAAGAGAGCAAUGCACGGAUCGUUAAAUGGUCCGACGGCAGCAUGUCUCUGCACCUGGGGAAUGAGGUGUUUGACGUGUAUAAAGCUCCACUGCAGGGUGAUCACAACCACCUGUUCAUCCGUCAGGGUACAGGACUGCAGGGACAAGCUGUGUUCAAGACCAAACUCACCUUCAGACCCCACUCCACAGACAGCGCCACACACAGGAAGAUGACCCUCUCUCUCGCUGACCGCUGCUCAAAAACACAGAAGAUCAGAAUUCUGCCCAUGGCCGGACGAGACCCUGAGUCCCAGAGAAAUGAGAUGAUAAAGAAAGAAGAGGAGAGGUUACGUGCAUCUAUCCGCCGUGAGUCGCAGCAGAGACGCAUGAGAGAGAAACAGCAUCAGCGCGGUCUAAACGCUGGAUACCUGGAGCCCGACCGCUACGAUGAGGAUGAGGAGGGUGAAGAUUCCAUCAGCCUGGCUGCCAUCAAGAGCAAAUACAAGGGCGGAGGAGGACUGAGGGGAAAUUGGUGCUGUGUCCGAAGACUGAAUGCAUACAUCCUUACAAUGUAGUAUGCCAAAAACAGAAUGCCAAUGGAGUAGUAUGUCAGUAUCCUCAAUAUUCAUCAAACGAGUAGGCGAGAAAUACCCAAAUGACCUACUACAUCCAAUGAGAUUCUGAAGUGCACAUCCACUGGACACUGUACUAUCUCAUUAUGCCUCGGGAGCUGAGGACACAUCACAUUCAAAAUGCUGAAUUUAAAAAAACUGCAGAGAACCGUGAGUAGGGUGGCGCAUUUAAAGUGUAAGUGCUAUAUAUGCCAAGAAAGUUGUUCCUUGUGGAUAAACUAUACAUGUCUAACAAAACCGGAGUAGAUUAUUUUGGCAGUUGUUGUUGUUGUUAUGUCAUAUGUUCGGGUCACAGGACAAUGCCCACAUUUCCCAGAUGGAGUAUGUCCGAAAUAUAUUCACACUACUCGACUACAUACCUGAAGAAUGUACUUUUUACCAGCCAUGAAGUGCGUCCUUCAUUAAAUGCACUACUUACUCUGACAGUGUGCGAUUUUGGAUGCAAGGCUGGUUUACUUCUGUUUUGUUUUUUUGGUUUUACUAUCAAAAGUUAUGCAAGCAUCAUUCUGUGCAUGUUCUCUCUUGUGGUUGUCUUUAGGGUUCGACAGAUAUUUAAUUUUGCAGACACCGAUAACUAAGUUGGUGGAAAAGCAGAUAACCGAUUAAUAUGCAGAUCGUUUUUAAAAACGGUUAAUUGAAUGCGUUUUCUUUCUAACAAAAUGUAGUAGUCUUUCCUUACGGUUCCAAAAGUUCCAAAAGUAUCUAUUGGCACUGAUUAAUCGGCAAAACCAAUAUAUCGGUCGAACUCCUGUUUACUUUAAUAUGGUCUGUGUUUGCUUUCAGCACACAGUCAAUAAAAUUAUCUAGUAUAUGGACGAUUACAAUUGGAAAAUGCAAAAAUUAUUCCCGAAUGCCCAAAGCCAAUAUUAGAUUUUGCAGAUACUGAUAUCUAAGGUGGUGGGAAAAGACGAUAACCGAUUAAUCUGCCGAUUGUUUUUAAAAACGAUUAAUUUAAUGUGUUUUCAGUAACACUUUAUAAUAAGGUUCCAUUCGUUAAGUAAGGGGUAAUGUACAGUCAGGUGGUUGUUAUCGCACAAUAAACCCCAACAGGGUGAUCAGGAUCUUUUCUCUUAAGUGGUUUAUUUUGCGAUAACAACCGACUGACUCUCUGUGGUCAUUAAAAAUCCACUAGAAAAAGACAAUAACCAAUUAAUCAGCCGUUAGUUUUUAAAAGCGAUUAUUUGAAUGUGUUUUCUUUCCUUACUCUUUCCUUACUCUGCCAAAAGUUAAAAAACAAUCCUAUUAAUCGGCAAAACCGAUAUAUCGGUCAAGCUCUAGUUGUCUGUAAUAUGGUCUGCGUUUGAUUUCAGCACACAGUAAAUAAAAUUAUCUCACAUAUAUAUAUAUAUAUAUAUAUAUGAUUAGAAUUGGAAAAUGCAAAAAAUAUUUUUGAAUGCCCAAAGUAUACAUGUUGGUUACCCAGCAAUAGUCUAGCCACAAUGAAAGCUUGCAAAUUGCAUUUGAAAUUACAAUGAGUUUUAAGCACAACAUUCACCAUAAAUUCCAGCACUAUUGUACUGCUUAUGAAAGACACUACAACCUUGGCUUCCCUUCACCCUACAGCAAUUGGCUGCCAUCCUGCGUUUUUUUGCCUCUCAGUUGCAUAAAGUUGACCAUUAAUUUCUGAUGCUCUCAUCACUUGCUCCUGCCACUCAGCUCUCAUAGAAUGGAUUGAAAACACCUGCUCAUCUCCGCACCAGUGGACACGUAUGUUACAUUAGGAAGUAGGGCAGUUGAAGUGGUUUCUGAUCGGUGGUCGAGUUCUCUAUCUGUCGUCUAGAUUGAAUUCUCUCACUCCUCCUGUGGAUCAGUGUAUCUGCACAACUGAUUCUCUGAGUGAGUUUGAGACCUGCUGCGAUCAGCUAGAACAUUCUGCACUGCAAAAACAGCUUGUGUUCCCAAAACAGCACGUCUUGCACACACACUUUCUCACUUGCAGUAACAGUUGUAGUCAUCAGCCGAUUACCUGCUGGUAUCUUAAGACUGCUUUAUGCCGGAGUCCAGCUGAGAUUUAGAUUAGUUUGUUCAGGUUUGUUUGUUUGUACCGUUAAGAUGUAUUUACUGAAAGAACAUCUCUCUGGAAUGAAGAUAUGCUCUGGAAUGCUUAAAAAUGGGUCCAAAUUUCUGAGCUGAUUCUAAAUGAUUGUUUGUGUUUGUUUGUGGGUCACAGAGGAGCGGGCCAGGAUCUACUCCUCAGACAGCGAUGAAGGCUCUGAUGAAGACAAGGCCCAACGGCUGAUGAAGGCCAAGAGACUGGAUAGUGAUGAGGAAGGGGAAAACUCUGGGAAGAGGAAGGCCGAAGAAGACGAGGAAUCUGCU